UACCAGCACCCCGAGUGGUUGGGACGUUUAUUGGGCCUAAAGCAUCCGUAGCCGGUUCUACAAGUCUUCCGUUAAAUCCAGCUGCUUAACAGAUGGGCUGCGGAAGAUACUAUGGAGCUAGGAGGCGGGAGAGGCAAGCGGUACUCGAUGGGUAGGGGUAAAAUCCGUUGAUCCAUUGAAGACCACCAGUGGCGGAGGCGGCUUGCCAGAACGCGCUCGACGGUGAGGGAUGAAAGCUGGGGGAGCAAACCGG
rnacentral:rRNA from 1 species